GCAAUAAUAAAAAAGACGCCAUUCGGCUACACCCGAAAUGAAAGGUAGAUUUCAUAGAAUGAAUCAUCAUCUUGUCUCAAUAACUUUCGUUUGAUAUGGAAUGAAAUUUAUUUUAACAUACAUAAGUAAUAUGAAAAAAUGGU